rnacentral:lncRNA from 1 species
AUGAGCCACUCUGCAGGGCUAUUUUUUUUUCACUUUCUCUUUAUCUUUACAGAUUAUUCUCUUUCUUGUAUCUUUUCUUCCUCCCUCCCCAUUAUUGUCCUAUUCUCUUUCUUUUCCUCUUCUCUUUUCAUUUUCAUGUCUCUUUAUUGCUUCUCAGAGGUGUAUGAAUGGAAUGGCAAAAUGCUGGUGUUGGAGACGUUGCCUUUGUGUUUCAGCCCAAACCCUGGUUUGGUUGUUACUCUUGACAGUGUUGGAAUAAUGGGUGUGUGGUGUACCUGAGAUGAUUGAUGAUCAUCUGGACAUAGGCACUGAGGGAGAAGGAGGUAUUAAAGCUGACUUCAGGGACAACCUGGGAGAAAGAUGGUAGAGUAGAACCAUCUAGUGCUCAUCCCACCACAGAAAUAUCAAUGUCAACAACUACCCGGAUAUGAAAAUACCUUCACAAGAGCUAUGAAAACCUGGCUGUAGCCCAAUAAAAGGCACAUUGAAGAAGGUAGGAUGGACAAUUUUACAUUACCUAAGUCAUCCCUCCCCAACUCUAGGCAGCACAGUGGUCCCAUCAGCUUGAGGCAAAGAGAGGGAAGUGAGCACAGGACAUUGACUUUGACCCCAACACUGGGCUGACACCAGCACCAGGCACAUCUCCACAGUCCAAACUAUAGAUCAGUAUCCAUGGACUGAUCCUCUAGACUGACCCUGGGGCCAGGUGAGGCCAUAUAGCCCUAGACUUCAGCCUGGUAAGAGGAUGCUUUCUCACUCUUUGACCCGUGCUACUGCUGGGCCAACAUCAGAAGCCCUGGGUUCUGGACAGCCCUUAGUUAUAGGCAGCCCUCAAGCUGCCCAGGCUUCUGACCUCUAUCUCACAUUAUAUUCAGAAAUCAACUCAAAAUGGAUUAAAGACCUAAUGUAAGAUUCAAAACUGUGAAGCCUAAGAAGAAAACAGUGAAAAAGCUCCAUGACAUUGACCUAAGCAAUAAAUUUUUGGACAUGACCUCAAAAGCACAGUCAAUAAAAACAAAAAUAGACAAAUGGGAUUAAAACAAAGAAAACAACCAAUAGAAUGAAGAGAUAACCUACAGAAGGAGAAAACAUUUGCAAACUAUACAUCUGAUAAAGAGUCAAUAUCUAAAAUAUAUAAGAAACUUAUUAGCAAAAAAACAAAAUGAGUUGAUUUAAAAAAUUGCAAAAGACCUGAAUAGGCAUUUUGCAAAAGAAGACAUACAAAUGGCCAAUAGGUAUAUGAAAAAAUUCUUAUCAUUACUAACCAUCAAAGAAUUGCAAAUCAAAACCACAAUGAGAUACCACCUCACAUCUUUUAUCAAAGGGACCAAAGAUGACACGUGUUGGCGAGAACGUGGAGAAAAGGAGACACUUUUGGUGGCAAUGUAAAUUAGUCCAGUCAUUGUGGAAAUAGUAUGGUGGUUUCUCAAAAGAUUAAAAAUAGAACUACUAUAAAAUCCAGCAAUUCCACUGCUGGGAUCUAAAGGAAGUGAAAUCAAUACGUCAAAUGAUAUCUGCACUCCACGUUAAUUGCAGACUAUUCACAAUAGCCAAACAUGGAAUCAACCUAUGUGUCCACCAACAGAUGAAUGAAUAAAGGAAUGUGGUAAAUAUACAAAAUGGAGCACUAUUCAACCUUAUAAAGAUAGAAAGUCUGUCAUUGUGGCAACAUGGAUGAACCUGGAAAACAUUACCUUUAAUAAGCCAAACACAGAAAGACAAAUACCACAUGAUCUUGCUAUAUGAGAAUCUAAAAAAGUUCUCAUAGAAGUAGAAAGUAUAAUAAUAGUUACCAGCGGCAGAGGGUGUUGGGGGGUUAGGGAGAUAUUUGUCAAAUGAGACAAAAUUUCAGUAAGGUGGGAGAAUUACAUUUAAGAGAUCUAUUGUACAAUAUGGCAACUAUAGAUAAUAAUAUAUUGUAUAUAUCCUUGAAAAACACUGAGAGUGUAUGUUAAGUGCUACCACACAAAUGAUAACUAUGUAAGGUAAUGCAUAUGGUAAUCAGCUAGAUUUAGUUAUUCUACAAUGUGUAUAUACUUCAAAAUGUGUUGUACACAGUAAAUACAAUUUUAUCUGUCAGUGAAAAUGUACAAACUAAGGGAAAAAAGGGGCACAGCCUUUGGGAAGCAAUUAGUCAUGAAGGCAGAGCCCGCCUGAUUGGGAUUAUUAUCCUGAUAUAAGAGGCCCAAGGGAGCUCCUUGACCCUUCCACCAUGUAAGAGAAGAGACAGAACAUACCAUCUAUGAGAAAUCAUCCCCUUACCGGGCACCAAAUCUGUUGACACCUUGAUCUUGGAUUUCCCAGCCUCCAGAACUGUAAAAAAUAAAUUCUUGUUUUUUAUAUGUUAAGAAAUAUUUAAAAAAUAAAAUAUUAACAACUUAUUGUGUAUGGUCUCUUUGGUUAUAGACCCAUUUUAACCUAAAUCUUAUCAGUUUAAUAAAUUAAAUUGUAAUGGUUAAAAAAAAAGCCGACAGCAGGAUUUCAAAAUAUAGGAGAUGCAGAAGGAGUUUUGAGGACAGUUGUUGGUAGGAGCAGAUAGACUGAAAGCAGAAAAAUCUCAUGCCAAUAGGGACCAGGCAAGUAAGGGGAAUGAAUGAAGUAGGCCAGAUUAGGGAUUUGAUAGGGAGGGGUGGGGACUGGGGAAACUGUCCUUUAUGUAAAUGUAUACCAAAGGAAGCAUCUGUUCAACUUUAGUUAUUGUCAUGGAGAAUUCAUGUCAAAUAGUACCAUAUCUUUCUGUUUUCAAGAGAAACUGAAUUUUCAAAAUUUAAAGUAAUUUCGCCUGUUUUAUUUCCUUUAGAUUUAGUUACUUUUAAACGCUGUAUAGGUAAAAGAAAAUAAGAGAUGAGAAUUGGAAACUUAAAUUUGUAUUUUUUUGUAAUUGCCUGAUAUUUUCAUCUAUACAUUUGCUUAAAUUACUGUUUAUGUUUUCAUUUAGCAUUUACAUGCAUUUUUUCACCUGCCUUAGAAUGGAUAUGAUUCAUACUUAACUGAUUACUAUUACUACAUAUCCCAAGUAAGUGGUUCUUUUCUUCUUUUUCUUUUGUGCUCUUUUCCUCAAUAGUUUCUUCUACAGCAUUUAUUGGUUUCAAGAGAUCUUGAAAAGAAGUGAUCAAUACAUCCAUAAUAUGAAUUCUAAAAUAAGUGGAUGAAGUUUUAGACAGGGGAAUAUAUGUGUGUACAGGUGUGUUCGUGUGUUUUAUUUAGUUUCAGGUACAAGAGAAAGUGUGGACAAAGCAUUUUUUUUUUUUUUGAGACAGAGUCUCGCUGGGUCUCCAGGUGCCAGGCUGGAGUGCAGUGGUGCAACCUCAGCUCACUGCAACCUCCACCUCCCAGGUUCAAGCAAUUCUCCUGCCUCAGCCUCCUGAGUAGCUGAGACUACAGGCAUGUGCCACCAUACCCAGGUAAUUUUUGUAUUUUUACUAAAGACGAGGUUUUACCAUGUUGGCCUGGAUAGUCUCAAUCUCUUGACCUCGUGAUCCACCCGCCUUGGCCUCCCAAGUGCUGGGAUUAUAGGCAUGAGCCACUGCGCCUGGCCCAGCAUUUUUAAAUAGAUUUGAGUUCUGGGACUUAAAAUGCAAGAGUACUAAAGGAAAAUUUUUAAAAGUCUAGAUAAGAGCACAAAGAAGGAAAUAAGAUCCAGGUAAAAGAGCUCUUAAAUGAAUACUAACAAGCUGAUGUAUCAAUCAAAUUAUACAAAAUUUCUAUAUCUUCUAUAUGGAGAUAUAAUGAUAGCUCAGUUGAUUUUAUUUUAAGCUACAUCUUUUAAGAAAUACUGAUGAAGAAAU